rnacentral:tRNA from 1 species
AGAAAAGUAAGCUAAAAACAAGCUAAUGGGUUCAUACCCCAUAGAUAGAGUAUUCACUCUCUUCUCUA